rnacentral:sRNA from 1 species
CACACCAUAUGGCAUGAGAGAAAUGGUAGAAGACAUGGGGAACGU